UCCCUCCCCUCCCGCUCGGCUGCCGGACCGUGCGCAUCCUAACACGGUGGUCGGAAGCGCAGCCACCAUCCCGCCCUUAAGCCACAUCCUCAGCUCUUAUUGGCUGACCUUGGACCUGAUUGAUGAACCAUCCGCCCAAUGGAGGUGCACGCUCCCUGGACGUCCAGGUAUCCAAGCGUGCUGCAAGGGCGGGCGUUCGCUUGAGGUUUUUUUGAAGCUUUAAGGUUAGGUUGAGCGGGCACAAAGGGCACGUGACCUGGAUGCUCUCCCAUGAACCCAGAAUGCCUGAGAGAAGACAACUCUUGUUAAGAUGGGACCCCAACUGGUAAAUUGAAGGAAUCACAAGGAAUGAGUAUUUGUGCAUCCUGAGGAGGGUACCACAGAAGGGGCAAAUGGUGGCUGAUGGUGUUGGUAGAAUUGGUUUGCCAUUACCUUCUUCUGGGCAGUGUCUUUACAAGAUGGGUGACUUCAGCUAUCAUCAAUACUCUUCAGCGAUUGUCUGCCUGGUGUUAAUGGUCACAUAACCAGGACGUGAUAUGCACCAGCUGCUCAUACGAACAUCCACCAUCUGCUCCCAUGGCUUCACAGGACUAAUCAGGUGCUACACCUUGGCCAAAGGCGACCUGCAGGCUAGCAGAGGGAAGGGAUACUCUACACCUCCUUUGGAAGAGACCUAUCUCCACCCCGACACCCAACACUAUCUAAACUCCUCAUAAUUUUGCAUACGUAUUAUUAUUAGCUUUGUUUAAAAAUAUCUGAACAUAUAUAAAAAAACCCUGAUGCAUGAAUAACACACACAAAAUGCUGGAGGAACUCAGCAGGUCAGGCAACAUCUAUGGAAAGGAACAAAAAGUCGACAUUUCGGGCCAAGACCCUUCAUUGGAAUAUGAAA